rnacentral:rRNA from 1 species
GGGGGAAUAUUGCACAAUGGGCGCAAGCCUGAUGCAGCCAUGCCGCGUGUAUGAGGAAGGCCUUCGGGUUGUAAAGUACUUUCAGCGGGGAGGAAGGGAGUAAAGUUAAUACCUUUGCUCAUUGACGUUACCCGCAGAAGAACGACCGGCUAACUCCGUGCCAGCAGCCGCGGUAAUACGGAGGGUGCAAGCGUUAAUCGGAUUUACUGCGCGUAACGUGCACGCAGGCGGUUUGUUAAGUCAGAUGUGAAAUACCCGGGCGGAACCUGGGAAGGGCAUGAGAUACUGACAAGCUUGCGUCUCGUAGAGGGGGGUAGAAGUCCAGGUGUGGCGGGGAAAUGCGUAGAGAUCUGGCGGAAUACCGGUGGCGAAGGCGGCCCCCCGGACAGAGACUGACGCUCGGGUGCGAAAGAGUGGGGAGCAAACGGG